rnacentral:rRNA from 1 species
UGGGGAAUAUUGCACAAUGGGGGAAACCCUGAUGCAGCCAUGCCGCGUGUGUGAAGAAGGCCUUCGGGUUGUAAAGCACUUUCAGCGAGGAGGAAAGGUUGGUAGCUAAUAACUGCCAACUGUGACGUUACUCGCAGAAGAAGCACCGGCUAACUCCGUGCCAGCAGCCGCGGUAAU